rnacentral:rRNA from 1 species
UGGGGAAUAUUGGACAAUGGGCGAAAGCCUGAUCCAGCCAUGCCGCGUGUGUGAAGAAGGUCUUCGGAUUGUAAAGCACUUUAAGUUGGGAGGAAGGGCAGUAAAUUAAUACUUUGCUGUUUUGACGUUACCGACAGAAUAAGCACCGGCUAACUCUGUGCCAGCAGCCGCGGUAAUACAGAGGGUGCAAGCGUUAAUCGGAAUUACUGGGCGUAAAGCGCGCGUAGGUGGUUCGUUAAGUUGGAUGUGAAAGCCCCGGGCUCAACCUGGGAACUGCAUUCAAAACUGACGAGCUAGAGUAUGGUAGAGGGUGGUGGAAUUUCCUGUGUAGCGGUGAAAUGCGUAGAUAUAGGAAGGAACACCAGUGGCGAAGGCGACCACCUGGACUGAUACUGACACUGAGGUGCGAAAGCGUGGGGAGCAAACA